rnacentral:lncRNA from 1 species
GCCUCGUCCCUAACUGAAUGCUUGCUACUGAUGCUGCCUCGUCGCAUUUGGAUGUUCAGCUGAAUGCUUGCCGCGUCUUGCCUUCUUGCUAACUAAAUGCUUGCCGCGUCUUGCCUUCUUGCUAACUAAAUGCUUGCUACUGGCUGCAGCGGCACAUCUGUAAUUCUUUUUUUUUGAGUUCCUGCAUGUUCAUUUGAUUUUGAUUUUGGUCAGUUACCUAAUAACUAAACGCUUGCCAUUACGCUCAUUUUCAGUUACCUGCAUGUUCUCAUAGCUUCACCACACUACUACUUUUUUUCCAAGGCGGGCAAAAACGAUUUUCCGAGGCGAGCAUCACAACCACCUCGGAUCGAAGACCAUGCUAAAUCAACGAUUUACCGAGGCGGUUUGAUGCCCGCCUCGGUUAAUAAAAUUAAAAAAACAAAAAAGAAAGAAAAAGAGCCCGUAUCCAACCCUUAUUGGGCUUGGAUCCAUCGCCCUGCAUACCGCCGCCGCCGCUGCCAGGAGCAGGCCACGCGCACCGCCGCUCCUCCUUCACCGCCGCGCCUGGAUCCACCCUCCUGGACACUGGAUCCGCCCUUUCAGAAACCAUUGUGGAGGUGUCGCCUGGCGAUGUGGAGGCAGAGGAGCUCACCGUCGUGCCUUCUUGCUUCGAGAGAAAGACACAGAGGGACGCCCACCGCCGGAUCCACCUUGCCCGCGCCACUAGCCUCGCCCUCC